GAGAUUCUGAAAGCCAUAAAAUCAGUUGACCUCACCGACUGUUAGAGCCAGGAGUGCUGAUUGUGAAAACAGUUGUCUCAGUAUUCCACGUGGAAUUGCAUAUGCGGCUGGAAUGCAAUGGCACGAUCUUGGCUCGAUGCAACCUUCACCUCCUGGGUUGAAGCAAUUCUUCUGCCUCAGCCUCCCAAGUAGCUGGAACUGCAGGCAUGCACCACCAUGCCCAGGUCCAUAGAUGGAGAGGAAUUUUGCUCAAGGAUUGAUGAUACCCAGAGUCUUACCUAUACAUGAGUUAGAUGAUUUAAAUAUUUAAUAAAGUAUCUUAUAAACAUGA